rnacentral:rRNA from 3 species
ACGAACGCUGGCGGCGUGCUUAACACAUGCAAGUCGAACGAUGAAGCCUUCGGGUGGAUUAGUGGCGAACGGGUGAGUAACACGUGGGUGAUCUGCCCUGCACUUUGGGAUAAGCCUGGGAAACUGGGUCUAAUACCGAAUAUGAUCAUGCUCUUCAUGGGGUGUGGUGGAAAGCUUUUGCGGUGUGGGAUGGGCCCGCGGCCUAUCAGCUUGUUGGUGGGGUAAUGGCCUACCAAGGCGACGACGGGUAGCCG